UGGGGAAUAUUGCACAAUGGGCGCAAGCCUGAUGCAGCAACGCCGCGUGAACGAUGAAGGUCUUCGGAUCGUAAAGUUCUGUUGCAGGGGAAGAUAAUGACGGUACCCUGUGAGGAAGCCCCGGCUAACUACGUGCCAGCAGCCGCGGUAAUACGUAGGGGGCUAGCGUUAUCCGGAUUUACUGGGCGUAAAGGGUGCGUAGGUGGUCCUUCAAGUCGGUGGUUAAAGGCUACGGCUCAACCGUAGUAAGCCGCCGAAACUGGAGGACUUGAGUGCAGGAGAGGAAAGUGGAAUUCCCAGUGUAGCGGUGAAAUGCGUAGAUAUUGGGAGGAACACCAGUAGCGAAGGCGGCUUUCUGGACUGCAACUGACACUGAGGCACGAAAGCGUGGGUAGCAAACAGGAUUAGAUACCCUGGUAGUCCACGCUGUAAACGAUGAGUACUAGGUGUCGGGGGUUACCCCCCUCGGUGCCGCAGCUAACGCAUUAAGUACUCCGCCUGGGGAGUACGCACGCAAGUGUG
rnacentral:rRNA from 1 species